rnacentral:rRNA from 1 species
GAUGAACGCUGGCGGCGUGCCUAAUACAUGCAAGUCGAGCGAACAGACGAGGAGCUUGCUCCUCUGACGUUAGCGGCGGACGGGUGAGUAACACGUGGAUAACCUACCUAUAAGACUGGGAUAAAUUCGGGAAACCGGAGCUAAUACCGGAUAAUAUAUUGAACCGCAUGGUUCAAUAGUGAAAGACGGUUUUGCUGUCACUUAUAGAUGGAUCCGAGCCGCAUUAGCUAGUUGGUAAGGUAACGGCUUACCAAGGCAACGAUGCGUAGCCGACCUGAGAGGGUGAUCGGCCACACUGGAACUGAGACACGGUCCAGACUCCUACGGGAGGCAGCAGUAGGGAAUCUUCCGCAAUGGGCGAAAGCCUGACGGAGCAACGCCGCGUGAGUGAUGAAGGUCUUCGGAUCGUAAAACUCUGUUAUUAGGGAAGAACAAAUGUGUAAGUAACUAUGCACGUCUUGACGGUGCCUAAUCAGAAAGCCACGGCUAACUACGUG